AGAAUCAACGCUGGCGGCGUGCCUAACACAUGCAAGUCGAACGAGAAAGUGGAGCAAUCCAUGAGUAAAGUGGCGCACGGGUGAGUAACACGUGACUAACCUACCCUUGAGUGGGGAAUAACUGAGGGAAACCUUGGCUAAUACCGCAUAAUACCUACGGGUCAAAGGAGCAAUUCGCUUAAGGAGGGGUCGCGGCAGAUUAGCUAGUUGGCGGGUAAUGGCCCACCAAGGCAGUGAUCUGUA
rnacentral:rRNA from 1 species